rnacentral:lncRNA from 1 species
AUCACCUGACAACCAUCUCUCAACAAUGGUAUCUGGUACUUUAAUCACCCUUCUCUCUUUAUUGCUUGUCCUGCCCAACAUGGACGCUUCUAAUACAGUACCGGUGGUACAGGGCAGUGGUGACGUCGCCACAAAUGGGACCCAGAAAAGCAUUUUAACCCGCGUAAUUCGAACUCCAAGCAGGAACCCAACCAGGGUUACUCAGAGGCCCUGUCAUGUGCACGUCUGUGUGCAAACUAAAGUUCAAGGAACAUGUGUCCAGUUUGGGAACAGAAGGAGUGGUGUCCCGGCUUGUUCAGCUGGCCAAUAUUUAGACAUCCAAUCUGAACAAUGUCAAGGAUCUUAAAAUUCCACAUGGAAAUACAAAGAAGGUAGCAAAACGACAAAAUAUAACAAACAACUGAGAAAAACGAAGGAAAAAGAAAACAAGAAGAGUCCUAAAAUGAAAACAUAACACACACACAUAAACAAGGAGAAAAUAUGAAGCAUUCAAAUGACUUUUAGUUAGAUAAAUUUAUUUAGACAAAGAAAUGUAGAACUUGUUUUGGUAUAUCAUAUGUACUAGAUAUUCAGAAAUGGAAAAACAAAACAAAACAAAAACAAAAUAAAAAAAAAAACAAAACAAAAACAAAAAAAGCUCCAGGUGAAUAUUUGUGCUAAAGUAUUGAAAAUUAAAAAGACUCCUAAAAUUUUC